rnacentral:lncRNA from 1 species
CUUAGGCCUGUCUUCCUUGUGUCGACCCACUGAAAAUAAGUUCCUUUGUUACCCCACCAUCACCCUCUUCCAUUUGAUUUUUUUUUCUUGGGGUGCAAAGCUGAAUCUGCUCUGUGGAGAUGCCAAGAGUCAGGCCUCUGGCCUAAAAUUCUAACACCUGGAGCUGCUGCAAUCUUUUUCCAAUCUGGAAAGCCACAGACAGACUAGAAAGAUGGGAGUGGGGGUUCUGAGGCCACUGACAUAACCAGCCCUGUCCCCCUCCCCCUUUAACCUCCAGACUUGUUAGAUCUCAGAGAAGGUCCAAGCUGUCACUGUUCCUCACCAAGAAUCAGACUGCAGUGACUUCCUCACUGAUUUCCUGUUUCUGAAGAUGCUAUUUCCAGCCCUGCAACUGUCCUGUUCAGUUACAAUUCUCCUUAUCCCUGUAUAUUUUGAUCUGAAAGCUGCUUUGCCUGAUGUGUAUCUGUGAACCACUUGGUGAACAUGUGAAAAUCUGGGUUCCUGGCCAUCUCCCCAAGAGGAAUGAGAAAAGUAAGAAAGAAAGAAAGAAAAAGAGAGAAGGAGAGAAGAGAGAAGGAGAGAAAGAGAGAAAGAGAGAAAGAAAGAAAGAAAAAAAAAAAGGAAGCUCCCCAGGUGACUAAACAGGAGGGCCAUGAUUACAUAUGAGAAACACUGAAAGCAGAAAGAAUUAGUGCUAUUCAUCUGUGAGAAAAGGACUAUUGUGAAGAAAGGAGGAAUGAAGAACUAUAAAGGCGCUGAGACUUCACCUUACUUGCAAGUCAACAAGGUAGCGGCCAAAGACUAGUGGAUGCUGGUAGAAGAC